rnacentral:lncRNA from 1 species
ACAAUAAGAAAGCUCAUAAAAACUACACAUGAACCAUCGAAACAACGCUCAUACAAAAUUAAAGCCAAACAAGAUAUGAGAAACAAAAUUAUUUGAACAAUUUCAAGAGAACGAGCUAAAUAUGUUUCAUUACCUGUGUUUAAACCACAGGAAGGACUAAGAUGAUAAUUUCACUCUACAACCAAUAGUAAAAGUAAAAAAAAAAAAAAGACAAUGUUGUUCAUUUCAGGACCACCAUAGACUCCAAACAUUUCAAAUAAUAACACAUGCAAGCUCAAUACUGAUGUCUGUAUUGGCAUUUCAUGGGGAUAUAUCCUUUUCUUCUUUCCCUCCUUUCCACCCAGUUUCUCUUUCUGUAUGCAAAAAACCACAUCUUUUCUGCCAAGUUAGCAGAAAGAUGGAUCAUCACCCACCAACUUCCUCCAUAGCAAUGCAUAAUAAUAAAUUCAAAAAAAUAAAAUGAAAAAAAGUAGACUCCAUGUUCUGACAAAAUGCAGACAGCCAACUGACCGAAACACCUAUGCCCAAAAAUGGUGAUGACCCGACUCAUGGUAUGCAAUUGAGACCCCAACGCAGCGAUGAACAUGUAUGGAAGAAGUAGGACCCAUGAAACAGCAAGGAGCCUCAAUAUGAUGGUAACGAUAUUGCUCGGCUGAGUGUCAACUUGGCCCAUUCCGCAGAUUCCUUGAUCAAGUGAUCAUCAGAUGAUAAGCACUCUUUCAGAAAGUCUUUGCUAGAUACAGAUUGCUGAAUCAAAGGACCAGCAGCUCCACCUAAAGUAUCAGCUAAAUCUCCAAGCACACCAAUUGCUGUCUUGGUCACAACAUCAUCCCUAAAAUUAUAACAGACGUCAACAACUCAAAAUUCAUUGAAGAAAAACAUACAACCAUGAUUGAAAAUACAGAAAUUAACUUACAUGUCCUUCUCCAAGUACAAACUGUCCAGGAAUUGCAAUACAUGAGGAGCAUAAGGCAUCAGAAGCUGUGUCUUCGGGGAACCUUUGAAUCCUUGGAAGAUCCCAGAGUAUGCCUCAAGAAUUCCAUUUCUUAAAGUGUUUGUGUACUCAGUCAUAUCAUCAUCUGCCCCACCGGUAUGAGCAGAGAGCUCAGCAGCACUCUGGAGCAUAGGCAUAGCAUAUAACAAAUACUUUUCAAAGUUUUCACCAAUUGCCAAAGCAAUGUCGCCAAAACAUGAAAAAAUUGGAGGCUUUACAGACCUAUGCAACUGAUUACUGGACAAAUCCUUGAGAAGUUGGGUCAUUAUCCCAUCACAAUAAGGCAGUAUCUUCUCCUCCAAAGCCCUGCUUACAUCACCUACCACACCCACUGUGAUGGCACAAACCUGGUAGUCCUCAAAAU